GGGGAUUUAGCUCAGUGGUAGAGCGCUUGCCUAGCAAGCGCAAGGCCCUGGCAAGGCCCUGGCAAGGCCCUGGGUUCGGUCCCCAGCUCCG
rnacentral:tRNA from 1 species